GAUGAACGCUGGCGGCGUGCUUAACACAUGCAAGUCGAGCGAGAAAAGUUCUUCGGAGCUUUUCUAGCGGCGGACGGGUGAGUAACACGUGGGCAACCUGCCUCAUAGAGGGGAAUAGCCUUCCGAAAGGAAGAUUAAUACCGCAUAAUGUUGUUGAAAGGCAUCUUUUAACAAUUAAAGGAGCAAUCCGCUAUGAGAUGGGCCUGCGGCGCAUUAGUUAGUUGGUGAGGUAACGGCUCACCAAGGCGACGAUGCGUAGCCGACCUGAGAGGGUGAUCGGCCACAUUGGAACUGAGAUACGGUCCAGCCUCCUACGGGAGGCAGCAGUGGGGAAUAUUGCACAAUGGGGGAAACCCUGAUGCAGCAACGCCGCGUGAGUGAUGAAGGUCUUCGGAUUGUAAAGCUCUGUCUUUAGGGACGAUAAUGACGGUACCUAAGGAGGAAGCCACGGCUAACUACGUGCCAGCAGCCGCAGUAAAAC
rnacentral:rRNA from 1 species